rnacentral:lncRNA from 1 species
AUGCCUCCAUGACGAAUGAAGAAUACUCAAGGAGCGGUAGGAGGGACAUUAAAUCUACUUGGUGAUAACAUGCCCCAUUUGAAUAGUGGCACAUCUCAGUAGGAGGGAAUCAUUGACCCUACUGAAAAUACUUCGACAGUGCAGGAAGAGCCGAAUAUGACUCAAUUAAUGCAAACUCUGAUCGGAGUAGUACAAACACAGUAAUAGUUACUUCAACAACAACAUGCACAACC